GGUCUCGUGGCCAAAUGGACAAGACGUCUGACUACGAAUCAGAAGAUUGCAGGUUCGACUCCUGCCGAGGUCG